AUAACUACUGGAAACGGUAGCUAAUACCGCAUAACGUCGCAAGACCAAAGAGGGGGACCUUCGGGCCUCUUGCCAUCAGAUGUGCCCAGAUGGGAUUAGCUAGUAGGUGGGGUAACGGCUCACCUAGGCGACGAUCCCUAGCUGGUCUGAGAGGAUGACCAGCCACACUGGAACUGAGACACGGUCCAG
rnacentral:rRNA from 1 species